UGAUAAUGCUCUGAGGAAAGUUUCACGUACAGUUUUGUGCACCAUGCCUCUAGAAAGGCGGAGAUCAGCUGAAGAGAGCACAGAGGUGCUAGUAUACUGAAAUAUGAGCAUACUUACAUGAAUACACACAUGUCCAAAACUGCAUGUAUGCAAAGCAGUGCUCAGUACUGACAAUGUCCUUUUGAUGCCUCUGAACAUCAACAUCCAAACAGGACUUUUUCCUACUUAUAGUCACUUGCACGUUCUUCAGAGUCAGUAAACGGAUGGUUAAUUUGAGUCUUCUGUGAUGUACUGCAAGAAAUCAGUCAUGUGGAGCUUAGGAUUUUUAGAGCACAAGAAUGUAAAAUCUAUUCCUGAGCCCAAGUUUAUUAUGGAGAUGACAACAAGGUAACAGAUCAAUCACAUAUGUUUCGAAGAACAUUGUGAAUAUGCUUUAAGUUUAAUGAACAAAGCACUUGCACAUUACAGGUGAUGACUAACUCCAAACCAUGAUUCUGUCCCGUCAAAUUUCCCCCUUUUGUAAUCUUACCAUUAAAACCUGCUAAUGCAUGGAUAAAUCUUCUGCAAAUGCAAGUACAAUGCAUAAACAUAGAGAGGUGCAUUUUGCUAAUACAUUUCAAACACUCACAGAAAUACUGUUGAGGGAACUUUUCCAGGGCAGUAA